AUACCUACCAUACUUUACUUCGUCUACUCAUCUUUACAUAUAUGUUCUUAUCAGUUUAAUAUCUGAUACGUGGGCCAUUGGCUCACACGAUAUUAACUCUAUUUUUUAAAAGAGAAAACCCACUAAGAUAGCAAGCUUUCGAGAGUCGCCCAUGCGUUGCACUAUUGCACGGGCCGGGCUCAACCCGC
rnacentral:snRNA from 1 species